rnacentral:tmRNA from 1 species
GGGGCUGUAUUGGCUUCGACAGCGUAGAUCUUUGAAGGUGUAAGCAUGUCGUGCGUUGGAUAAUUAGCACGUAAAUCUGAAUAUUCAAACUUCAAAUGGCAAUACACAGUAUGCCAUGGCUGCCUAAUCAGUGAUUAAGUAGUCAUUAGGGCCGCGAGAGCAGGUUGUCCUGUUACCAAGCUCCGCCGCCGACUCAAAAACAAACACAGGAUGCUGCGACCGAAGGCUGUGACGGUUGCAAAAGACUAUCCAGCUAAGGAAUGAAUCGGUUUGUUGAUUCCCUGUUCAUUCCCGACAAAUAAUAAUCAAAUAAGCAUGUAGAAAGCUUUUGGGGAAUAUGUUUGGACGAGGGUUCGACUCCCUCCAGCUCCACUU